CGAGUCCCGGGCGGACGCCGAGGGCCGAAAGGUGACCCCGGCCCGCUGGGCCCCUGAGGGGGUGUGGCGGCGGCCGUCCGGGGCGCCCCGCCACGCGCCCGCCCGCCUGCUCACCGGUGAUGUCCAGGGCAGGAAAGACGCCAGGGACUUGGGAUGCUGUGCAGUGCAAAUGUGUCUUGAUGACCAGUAAGGGGAUCUGAAUCCUUGACUUGAUGUCGUCAGCACCACACUCUCCCAACACCUUAAACUAGACAUCAGACCUUGCCUCACUAAGGAGUGAGCCAACAAGCUGUGUAUACUUCCUAAUGUGCAACACGAUGACGCCAGGAUGACCUAUAAAGUGUUCUAGCCGGAAAUGUUUACCCUGGAUCUAAUCAAGCCUUGAGAUCUAACUUCAGUUUACCCGAAAUUGGGUAAAGGGACACUUUAAAUGACUUAUAAACAAACAAUCUGACAAAUCUUGAAUGUGGGGUUUUCUACAAACUCUGUCUCUUCAACAAGUAAAUGUCAUGUACAAAAACAGGUUAGGGGCUGGCCAGUUAUGUCAGUUGGUUAGAGAAUGGGGCAGAUAGCCCCAAGAUUCAGGAUUUGAUCCCUGUGCUGUCCAGCUGCCAAAAAAAAAAAAAAAAAAAAAUGGAUAGGAGGAACUGGGGUAGAUUAAAGAGCCACAAGAGGCAUAAUAACUAGAUGCAAUGCAUAGUCCCUAACUCUGAAUAGACCUGAUGUAAAAGUCAUGUUUAGGACACUGGAGACAUUUGAAUAUGGAGAAGGCAAUAGGUGAUAUUAGGGAACUAUUGUGAAAUGUUUUGGGUAUGGUAGGAAAUAGUAAAGUGGUGAUGUAGUUAAAUGGCCUUAUUCUAUGCUAUGGGCUGAAUUGUGUCUCCCCCAAAUUCAUGUGUUGAAGCCUUAAUCCCCGAUGUGACAGUAUUUGGAAAUGCAGCCUCUGAGAGGUAAUUAGGGUUAGAUUUGGUCAUGAGAGCGGGACCCUUAUGAUGGGAUUGGUGCCCUUUUAGGAAGAGGAAAUCACACUCUCUCUGCCAUGAGAGGACACAAUGAGAAGGCAGCCAUCUGUAAGCCAGAAAGAGAGCCCUCACCAGGAACCGAAUCAGCCGGCACCUUGAUCUUGGGUUUCCCAGCCUCCAGAACUGUCUGGAGAACAGAAAUAAAUGAAAUAAAUAUACAGAGAAAUAAAUGUCUGUUGUUUAAGUCACCCAGUGUAUAGUGAGAUAGGGGGACCCCCACUUUCAUAACAUACGCAAUUCACUUCUGUGAAACUGCUUGCUGUAUAACAAGAUAGAUUAAUUAAGUUUAAAUAGUGUUUGAAUUGCUUAAAAAUGUUAUUGCUUAAAAAUCCCCCUUGGCUUUUUAGCCCCCCCUUGAUAGAAGUCAAAAGCUAAAUAUUAGCCUGCCUUUGCUGUUUCCCACCUAUGCUGUCCCUGACUGAAGAGACCAAGAGCUGUAUCCAGAUGUAUCUAGACAACCUAAGGAGGAAACCGCCCUGUGAAAGUUUUUGCCGUCCCUAAGUGAUUAACUGGCUUCUUUCAGCUUCUGUUAUCAGCUUGCACUAGGCUUCCCCAAACCCGCUCCUCACUCCAGGAGGGUAUGUGUGUAUGUGUGUGACUAUAUGGUAACUAUAAGUGUGUGACUAUUUGAUAAUUUUAAC